rnacentral:lncRNA from 1 species
UUAAAUACUGUUGAAUGUUAUCAAACCUCUCUCGAACCUCGAUUUACGAGUAAUUGAGGUUCAUUUUCACGAAAUUUCCUAGAGUAAUACUAGUGAACGAAUUAUUCCUCGAUAUUUGGGAUAUGGGUGAUAAUUCACUAUUAUUUGCUCAGGCACGCACGAGGACCUCCAAGAGGACCCUACUGUGGAAGUUUGAACUCUUCCUCCAAUUUACUUGCUUGCA